AUUAACAACACACGUAAAGGAAGUACCCACUGGACCAACUCAGGGUACCAGACCAGAAGAUCAGAUCGUAGAAGUUACUGGAGAAAAAGAUCAGCGGACAGCACUCUUGAACUACAUGCCAGGCCUCUUCUUCCUGGAACUCUAAUGGAUUUAAAUGGCUUAAGAGACGGGAUGAAUUGUUGAAAAUGGUUCUUUCAAAAGACCUCACGGAAGGCCAAAGACAAGACUCACUGAGGCCAAGCUGAUCAACAAUAUCUAUAAGUUGACGCAUUCUAAUCAUGUGGCGAUCUUGACCUUGGGAGCUUGAUUUGUGGACCAGUGUCCCCAAGAAGAUGACCAUCAGACAGAUGACAAUCCUCUCCAUGUUGCCAGGACUGGAUCUCAUAAGUACCAACAGUAGAGCUAGACCUUGGUCUCGUUUUCACUUCAGCUUGACUGAGAACAGGUAUACGUGUGCAUGUGCUAAUGUGUGGGGGCAGGGAUUGAUGGAGUCAACGAAAUGUGCCCCAUCUGCAUCUUUGACAGGAAAAAGAGAGAAUGGGUGAAUUCCAAUUUUCAGCAUGAAUCAAGAAUGUCACCGAUGAAGUUUUUGAAUGCUGUGCUCCUAAUCUCAUUUUCCUCCUCCAGAGACUUCGGUGAAGGAUGAUGCAAACUGUGUUUCUUCAGCAUAUCUUGGCUCCAACAUGGGAUACUCAGCAGUGAGGCUAGAGAUCAGAUGUCCUUCAUUCCUUGACCACUAAGCCUAGAGGAUGGAGAGAAAGAAGUGGAACAUCUGCACUCUUCAACCUGAGUCCACUCCAACUCCAUCCCACAAGGUGAGGCAAGUUCCACCAGCCUCUCCAGCCUCCUGUCUAAUAUGAUCAGAGAAAUCCUCUUCUCUCUGGACUCAAGACCCAUCCCUGUUUCCUUCCCUAAGGCGACAGGUGGCUAUAGCACCCUUUGUCUUGGCCCUGCAGCCACCAAUACACAACCAUAAAAAUAAAGUAGUCCAA
ensembl:lncRNA IL21-AS1 IL21 antisense RNA 1